rnacentral:tRNA from 1 species
GCCGACGUAGCUCAACGGUAGAGCAAUCGCCUUGUAAGCGAUAGGUUGUGGGUUCAAUUCCCUCCGUCGGCUCCA